AGCUGUUUCAAAACCAUUAUAAAUUGUAUAUUGGUUUUAAUGAAAAUAGAAUACAUCGAUCAUAUGUUUAGCUAAGACACAACCCCCCUUUCUGAAAGUGUUGAGUAAAAGAAAUAUAGCCAUUAAAUAAUUUACAGUUAGUCUAAGAUUUCAUUAGAAUAGACCUAUGUACUACUCGCACCUGUACAUAAAUAUGUAAACCUUACCUACCCUGCAGUUACACAAUUCAUCGCUCUUGAAAAACAUCGCAUCAUCCCUCUCUUAAAAAUUUAAUGCGAUGCUAAAACAAAUUCAUCGCUUUUUAAUUUCUAGCCGACGCUCUCAGUCAGCAAUUUUUAAGUUCAUUUCAAAUUAAACUUUAAAUUUCAAACAAGCAACAGGACGGGGACGAUGAAAGGGAAUAUAACAAUAAAAUGCAUUAUCGAAUUAGAAACGACUAAACUUGCGACUAGAUUUUUGUAAAUCGGACAUGUGAACCCAUAUAUCAACUCAACUGAAAAAAAGCUGAAUGGAACUGCAGGGGGGUGGGCAGUCAUAAUCCCAAUGUUAAGUUUCCCUAUAAAUACUGAAGGCUGAGCUUACAUAUUUACAUGUGUAUUGGUGUACUUUUUUAAUUCUCAAUAAAUUGAAAUGAAGAAUGAUUCUCUAUCAAACUAAGAAAAA
rnacentral:sRNA from 13 species